rnacentral:misc_RNA from 1 species
GAAAUGCGAUAAGUAGUGUGAAUUGCAGAAUUUAGCGAAUCAUCGAAUCUUUGAACGCACAUUGCGCCCCUUGGUAUUCCAUGGGGCAUGCCUGUUCGAGCGUCAUUUCAACCCUCAAGCACUGCUUGGUGUUGGGCGUUUGUCCCGCCUACGCGCGUGGACUCGCCUCAAAGUCAUUGGCGGCUGUUCCCCUUCGGCUCGUAAGCGCAGCACAGUCGGCGCCCGGAGCUCUGGUGGGAUGGCGUCCAGCAAGCUAUAUUUUCAGGCUUGACCUCGGAUCAGGUAGGGAAACCCGCUGAACUUAAGC